GCUUAUGGCCAUACCACCCUGUCUGUGCCCAAUCUUGGAAGCUAAGCAGGGUUGGGCCUGGUUAGUACUUGGAUGGGAGACCGCUGCAGAAUCCCAGGUGCUGUAAGCU
rnacentral:rRNA from 1 species